rnacentral:rRNA from 2 species
GUCGUCAGCUCGUGUCGUGAGAUGUUGGGUUAAGUCCCGCAACGAGCGCAACCCCUAUCUUUAGUUGCCAUCAUUGAGUUGGGCACUCUAAAGAGACUGCCGGUGUCAAACCGGAGGAAGGUGGGAUGACGUCAAGUCCUCAUGGCCUUUAUGCCCAGGGCUACACACGUGCUACAAUGGGUGGUACAGACGGACGCAAAGCCGCGAGGUGGAGCAAAUCCUAAAAAGCCGGUCUCAGUUCGGAUUGCAGGCUGCAAUUCGCCUGCAUGAAGUCGGAAUCGCUAGUAAUCGCAGGUCAGCAUACUGCGGUGAAUACGUUCCCGGGCCUU